rnacentral:pre_miRNA from 1 species
CAUGAGAUAGCUGGGUCAAAUGGUGGUUCCAUUCCAAGUUUUCUCAGAAAUCUCCAUACUUCUUUCCAGAUUGGUUGUAUCAAUUUGCAGUCCUACCAGCAAU